CAUAAAAGUAGAAAUCAAAGGUGGUGGAUGCUACCAGACAAACGAGAGAGAUUUCAUUUGGGAGUUUUUACCACUUUAUUUUUGAAGUACAAAUACACGAAUCAUGAAGAAUUUUUUAAAAUGACGAGACUUACAGUANAACAUUUUGAAGAACUGCUCAAUUUGAUUAGCCCUGCAUUGAUAAACAAUAGUGUACAAGAAGUUUUGGAUCCUGAAUUCCGUCUAGCAUUUACGUUAUGCAUCAGGAGACAGUUUUGGCCAGAUACUGGCGUAUAGGCAGGUCAACAUNCUAUAAAGUGAUUAUAGAAACAUGUAAUGCUAUUUGGCAAUAUCUUCAACCAAUAUAUUUAAAGUGUCCUUCUCAAGAGGAGUGAAAAAAUAUUGAAAAGGGCUUUUGUGAUAGAUGGAAUUUCCCUAAUUGUGUCGGAGCGUUGGAUGGAAAGCACAUUCGUGUGCAAUGUCCACCCAACUCUGGUUUAGCGUAUUACAAUUACAAAGGAUAUUACAGUAUAGUAAUGCUAGCUACAUGUGAUGCAAAUUAUGCAUUUACUUAUGUAGAUAUUGGAGAUUAUGGAUCAUUAUCGGACACAAGUGUNCUCAGUGCAUCGACAUUUGGUCAUGCCUUGGAACGUGAUAAAUUAGAUCUGCCGCCACCAAAAAUAUUGCCAGUUAACAUUAUUAGCCCAUUAUUACUUUAUGGGUGAUAAAAUUUUUCUUUUACGAUUGAAUCUCUUGCGACCACAUGCAAGAAAGAACUUGAUUGGAAUUGCACAAAAAGUUUUCAAUUAUAGACUUUCAAGAGCACGACGUGUUAUUGAAAACGCUUUUGGAAUUCUCGUAACUGGGUGAGAUCAUUAGAUUUGUUUCUUAUAACUGAACUUUAUGCAUUAAAAAUNAAACAGAUUAAUAUUUAAAUGUUCAAAAGAAAAAGAAGAAAAGAGAAGAAAAGUGAAUUAGUAUAGAAAACUCAGUUAUAAAGAACAAAAAUCAUAGUUUGUAAUAAGCUACUUUGAUUUCUAUCAAGAAAUAAUUCUAUUGAUUAAAAAUCAAUGCAUAUAGUGAUAGAUAUUUUUGAUAUUACGUGGAGAGUGCUGAGAACUACAUUAGCUUUGCAUCCAGACAGUGUAGAGACUAUAAUAUUUGCUACAGUCUGUUUACACAAUUUCAUCAUGAAAAAAAGAAGAACACAUUAUUGGAUUUUAACCAUACUGUCCACCUGGUUAUGUAGACUAUUAUGACAACAGUGGAAAUGUCAUUCCUGGUUUAUGGCGAGACGAAAAUAUUCCUGGAUAUGUAACACGACUCAAUCGAGUGGGAUCUGAUCGUGCUGCCACAAUUGCAAUAAAGCGGCAAGAUACAAUAGCUGCAUAUUUUAUUUCAAAUCAAGGACAAAUUCCUUGACAAUGAAAAGUUAUAAAAAGGGGUCGCAUACAAAAUGUUUUUUAAUUGGGUAAACAGUGCAA